AAUGGAUGGUUUAAAAGGACAUGGUCAACCUCCAGACUCAAUUUGCAAAACCAGGUGUUAAUCAAGAAGGUCAGCUUGUGGGUUAACUAGACUAAUCUGGUUUUAAUGUAGGUUCAGGCCAAGCCAGAUGGGGAGUGAGUUGGACUUAAGAUGAAAUUUCAUGUACUGUUUAUGUUCUUGCAGUUCUCUUUCAUUUUAAUGUCAUUCUUCUUGUACUGUUUAUCUUUCAGGUCCGAGCUCUAAAGGAUUUUUUCGAUAUGCUUUCAAAUGUCAGGUUCUGCACUUGAUAUGACAUUUGUGAUGUAUUUUUAUUGUUUUAUAUUUGUAACAACCAGCAACUAUGCUGAUUGAAGAAAUUUCAUGAUAACAUAACUUUAGAAUGUAAUGUUUAAGGGUUCAAAGAACAUACUCUCUACCAACCAAACUUAUGUUUUGAUUUUCCUUUCUUAUAGCAGAUUUUGUGGAAAUUUCAAAACUUCUUUGGUGAGCUUUUCUAUCCCCACUAUUUUCUGUGUUGUAGCCCACUUGAGUUUUGCAUCUGCUUUAGUUUUGGGUUCACGUCCUAACAUGAGCCUAUAAAGCUAAUGAAUGGAUUGAAGCUGGAUGGUUCCCUCCUUUUAGGUUGUACACUUCUAUUAGACUUCUCAUUUGUACAAUUGAAUGUGACCUGGCCCAAAUAUCAGGCCACUUCUUUUUCUUUUCUUUUCUUUUCUUUGUUAUUUUUUUUGUCAACAAUAUCACUCUAAUGUACUCUUUACUCUUCGAUGCAUGUAUGGAAAAUAAAUUGUUUCAAUAUGAAAUUUAAUGGUCCACAACAUAUACGGAAAACAAAUAGUCGAAGGCCAAUAUGUUCACCACCAUAAUUUUUUUGGGUACAGAGGAAUUAAUCCACCUCUCCCAGGUAAUGAACAACGCAAAUCUCCUACAUGUGUGGUGUGUUUGCACUCGUGACUAGUUGAGUCUUAGAUUCAACGUGUACAUCUCAUUGUAAAAAGUGAAUUUCCUUUACUGUAUCGUUCUACAUCCAUGGACAUGAAGAUCUGAUCUUUUCUCUUUUCAUAGCCAUCCUUGUCAUGAUAUCUGAUCUUUUCUCCUUGUGUAGGUGUAUCUUUAGCAAUGGUGCUUUUUGAGUUGGAUGUCUUGCUCAGUUUCGUCAAUUUGGCUACUAGUUGCCAUGAGAUCUCUAUGAGUUGGGGCUGGCAGAUUCUAAACUUUUUCCAUUUGAAGUGGAAUACUUGGUUCCUCAAGAAUAUGUACAUAUAAUGAGACAGUCCAUGCUAAAUAGAUGCUCGAUUUCUUCUUACGAUCAAGUUUGUGAAAUGUUCAUGGAAGGGCUUAGGAGUAUGCCACAUGAAAGUCCUUUAGUGGUGGUUUGCCCUCGAAUAAUUACAGAAGACGCACGGGAGAAAUUAUCGGUAUAGCUGUCAGAUGUGCAGGUGGACUAUUGAUACUCGCAUCCAUUUUUUUUAUGGUGGAUGAAGGAUGCACCUGGCCAUAUGCGAGUGCACACAGACUCACCAAGAUUUGUAUUUUCAACAUUAUUGUAAUUGUAAUUGAUUGAAUGAAGGAUUGUAAUUGAUUCAUUAUUGAAUGAAUGAUUGUAAUUAAAUUAA